rnacentral:rRNA from 1 species
AGUGAACGCUGGCGGUAGGCCUAGCGCAUGCAAGUCGAACGGCAGCACAGUAAGAGCUUGCUCUUACGGGUGGCGAGUGGCGGACGGGUGAGGAAUACAUCGGAAUCUACUUUUUCGUGGGGGAUAACGUAGGGAAACUUACGCUAAUACCGCAUACGACCUACGGGUGAAAGCAGGGGAUCUUCGGACCUUGCGCGAUUGAAUGAGCCGAUGUCGGAUUAGCUAGUUGGCGGGGUAAAGGCCCACCAAGGCGACGAUCCGUAGCUGGUCUGAGAGGAUGAUCAGCCACACUGGAACUGAGACACGGUCCAGACUCCUACGGGAGGCAGCAGUGGGGAAUAUUGGACAAUGGGCGCAAGCCUGAUCCAGCCAUACCGCGUGGGUGAAGAAGGCCUUCGGGUUGUAAAGCCCUUUUGUUGGGAAAGAAAAGCAGCAGGUUAAUACCCCGCUGUUCUGACGGUACCCAAAGAAUAAGCACCGGCUAACUUCGUG